rnacentral:miRNA from 1 species
CAGUGGGGCUGCUGUUAUCUG